GAAAAAGAAGUUAUUCAAUAUUGUUCGGCAGCGAAGGUAUCUUCUACUGUGCGUAUUACCGGAAAAAAAGCUGAUAGGCAGAAAGAAAGAAGCCUUCAUCUUCCCGCUUUCUUCAACAUAUCUGUUCACAUUUGAAUGUAACGUAAAUGAAAUUGAAAGAACCGUAGUCGAGCUUACUCCAUCACAAGUGUUCUGUAAACUUGUUGCCAUACCAUUAAAUGAAGGUGGAGACACUUUUUUCACACCUUUGAUACACACGCUUCCCGACGUAGACAGCAAUUGAACAACGGUAAGUUUUCUUUAUUACAAAAAUAUGAAGAAAAAUAUUAAUUUCAAAUUUCUCCACAUUACGGUUUUUUAAAUAAAAAAAUAAAUAUUUUUUUCUUCUUUACGGGUUUUUACAGCACGUGAAUUAUUAUACUUCAAUAUAACGACCUUGCCGUUCUAAAAUAAAGCAAAUGAUAAAUUCAAGUUUAAAUCAGUCAUUAUUAAUUCAUUACAACUAGUAUAUUUAUUGUCAAGCUUUUGCUUUCUUCUAUUUUAAUUUCAAAGUUUUGGCAUAAGGAGCAGACAUUUUUACACCCUUCAUGCCUUGCGUUUGUCAUUUAAUUUUAUGUUCACUUUGUAAAUUUGCAAAAAGUUAACCUCUUGUUCUUCAAAAUUCUUGGUCUUUGAAAAACUCUUAUAAUUACAUAAUUUGCUUAAAGCAUUUUAUCCUUUUGAACCCCCAACCACCCAAAGUACAUUCAGCAAACACAUUUCGACUGUCAUCUGUUUUUCGCAUAAUAAUAUAUCUUUACAUAAUCACGGAACUGUAAAUCGACUCCUAAAAAACAAGGAACUCUUCAAGUAAAGUCUCGUAGUUGAGUGGAUUGACAUGAAACAUUUGACCACUAUCUUGUUUUGGAGGGCCAAUGGCCCUCGAUUAAACGGAAUGUUUUACAAAUUAAUUGACUUUAUUGAGCGUACUGUGCGAAUGUCCACAUCUUUAGAAGCAGGCAAUUCCACUGGAGCUUUAGCCGGGAGCGGUGCUGACGACACGUCAUUAUUACCUACGAUACUAUCGAUAUGUCACGUUUCUUCGAUAAUUACUGAUUCAUCAACUGCAUACACGAUGUGCAUCGACGCACUGUUUAUAAAUUGAAGCGGCACUUGACAAAAAACUUUUUUGUUCUAUUUUCAGGUUGUGAAACAGACAUUGAUGGGAAUGGGACGUUUGGUAACGUUUGAGAAACAUUAUCUGAUGGCACAAGUUCUCCGAACGACGACGGAAGCAUCAAAGGAAGCAGUGCCAUUUGUGAUAAUCCAGCCAUACCAUACACCAACAGCAAACGUGUCGAUAAUGCGGCAAACUGGCAGAUCAGUCCGGCACCGCCAUAUUAAUACUAGCAGCCGGACAACGGACGGGAGGACCGUAACGAGAUAAAGAAAGGAAACAAGUGUAUCAAUAGAUAACCAGUUUGUGGACAGCGCGAAAUACACUAUGUGCCCAACAAACUUGAUGUAUACAUAAACCUCAAACCAACAAAACAGCGGGUGGCGUAAAAAACCAUCAAAAGCACCAAGAAGAAACCAAAACGCAGUGCAACCGUAAAAUCAGUGGGUUAGAUAAGGAUAGCGUCAUAGCUCCACUCCAUGCGGUGCCAAUAAACAGAAGAGUAAAAAAACAACAACAACGAAAUAAACCGGUUUUUUUCAAUCCGAAACAAGUGUGCGUGAGAGGGGAUAGUAUGCAUUAGUAUGUGUGAACGCGAUCGUUCGGGUGGAAUGUGUCUAUGUGUGCGUGAAACCACAUUUACUCUUCUACUGCAAGUGGGUACGUAAGUGGGGCCAUAUGUGUACGACACGAUCCCAUACAAAACUUCGGCUUUUGCGG